AUUGAACGCUGGCGGCAUGCUUUACACAUGCAAGUCGAACGGUAACAGGCCGCAAGGUGCUGACGAGUGGCGAACGGGUGAGUAAUGCAUCGGAACGUGCCCAGUCGUGGGGGAUAACGCAGCGAAAGCUGUGCUAAUACCGCAUACGAUCUAUGGAUGAAAGCGGGGGACCGUAAGGCCUCGCGCGAUUGGAGCGGCCGAUGGCAGAGUAGGUAGUUGGUGGGGUAAAGGCCUAACAAGCCGACGAUCUGUAGCUGGUCUGAGAGGACCACCAGCCACACUGGGACUGAGACACGGCCCAGACUCCUACGGGAGGCAGCAGUGGGGAAUUUUGGACAAUGGGCGCAAGCCUGAUCCAGCAAUGCCGCGUGCAGGAAGAAGGCCUUCGGGUUGUAAACUGCUUUUGUACGGAACGAAACGGUCUGGGUUAAUACCCUGGGCUAAUGACGGUACCGUAAGAAUAAGCACCGGCUAACUACGUGCCAGCCGCCGCGGUAACAC
rnacentral:rRNA from 1 species